rnacentral:rRNA from 1 species
GGAGUCUGGGCCGUGUCUCAGUCCCAAUGUGGCCGUUCACCCUCUCAGGCCGGCUACGCAUCAUCGCCUUGGUGAGCCGUUACCUCACCAACAAGCUAAUGCGCCAUAAGCCCAUCCACCAGUGUUUUUAACCUUUAAUAACAGAAAGAUGCCUCUCCGUUACCUAUCCGGUAUUAGUCCCCGUUUCCAGGGAUUAUCCCAGUCUUCGUGGGCAGGUUGCUUAUGUAUUACUCACCCGUUCGCCUCUGCUUCUUACCAGCAAGCUGGCAAUCCACCGAUCGACUUGCAUGUAUUAGGCACGCCGCCAGCGUUUAUC